CGGACUGCCAUAGGGAUGACGACAGUGUAAGGUAAAGGCCAAUGAUUUAGCAUUCAUAACAAGAAUCUGUCUUUCUUCCUCUAUAAUGGCGCACCUUUCAUUCGCAGGCAAGCAGCAGGAAGCAGGAAAAGGGGGACUAGACGGCACCAGCAGUACGUGGCCAUCAUGCAGGUGCAUAUAUGCACUGUAUAUAUGCAUAUAUGCACUGUAUAUACACUGACAUUCUGCCUUGCCAUUUUACAUUCCAAGGACACGAGCAGAAGGAGAAUCGCAAGGAACAGGACAAGCGCAAGGAUGGUAAGGAUAUGAACAAGAGUCGGGCUCAAACGGGACGUGGCAGGCCACCCUAUGGCAGUCCGGAGACGUGUAACUCGUCAGGCUCGGUAGCUACGGGGCAGUUGUCUGGACAGGUUACUCGCCAGCUAGAAGCUUGAUAAAUGUGCAACCUUGAAAGUGUCAUAAUUAGGCACAGAUAUGCGCGCUGAGUGUGUGAAAUGUUAUGACGAGGUUAGUUAACAUGUUUGCCAUCAAAUAUGAGUGUAGGGAGGCAUUAUUUGUCCUUACGAUUUGCUCUCUACCUACGGCCAUUUGGCAGUCCAGAGACGUGUAGCGCCCAAGGCUCAGCAGCUACGGGACGGUUGUCUGGACGAGGUUACUUUUGACGUGCAGCCCCGAAAGCACAUUGGGAAACAUGAAUAUAGCCGGUGAACUUAUCAUAAGUGAAAUUUAGGUUACUUAGGGUGUUUGCCACUUGUUUUGGUGCUCCGAUGUAACAUGACCAUUGGUAGUCAUGGUCAAGGCCCAAAGGAACGCCGAUUGUUCCAGCACAAAGUAGAAUAUAGUUGAUGAACAAAUAAGUACAUAGGCAAGGUUACCCGAGGCCGACGUCGAUCGACCUGGUCGACCAGGUCCGCCAAUGUAGUGGGUCCAUGCCACAAUAUCCGAAAGUCGGCUGAAAUCAUUUAAAACCUUGUCAGGUUUACUGAACAAAAUUACGACCGACGAGGUUUCCAUGCAAUUGGCUGACAUAACCGCUCAUGUACGGCUUUGGCUAUUAUGGCUUCAAUGUCCAAUGUCCCAAUGUAGGCAGGUAGUGGUGGGCCACAUCUGUGCCACGGUUGUGUGUUUCGUUGUGGAUUCGUUACCCGUUGCCCUCUUUCUUGUUCCUGAUGCUAUGGAGGGUGGCUGGGGCUGGUUGGGGGAGGGGGGCGUGUAUGUUUCGCCUCCGUCAUUGACGUGCCUGCCCUAAUUGUCAUGUUCCCAUCCAUGUGCUGCACGUGCAGCAGGCCUCGGAAGAUGGGGCCGACGUCCAGCCGGGAAUGGAGGUAAGAUGGGGGCGAGGGUCGGGGCUCUUAUGUGUUUU
rnacentral:lncRNA from 1 species